rnacentral:rRNA from 1 species
AUGCCACGUGCUCCGAUUGCUGCCCAUGGACGUGGUGAUGGGCGGGCCGUUGCUCAUGCCCGAGGUUCUGGACCAGCUGGUGCUCGUGGGCGAGCCUCUGCCCGUGGUCGUGGUAAUGUAGCCAUGCUCGUGCCUAGCGAUGUCCUCCCUGGGCCUGUCGCCAGCCGUGGUGGUGCUCGAGCCAAAGGUGUUGGGCGUGGUCGUGCCCGUGGACGAGGUUCUGGUCGUGGUCGUGGUUGUGGUGAUGUAGAUGGCACCCUCCCUGGGCAUGUUGCCGGCCGUGGUGGUGCUCGAGCCAGAGGCACUGGACGUGGUCGUGCGGGUGAACGACCACCUGGUCGUGGGCGUGGGCAUGGUAACGUUUCUUUGCCAGAUAGUGCCAUUGGCCGUGCUGUUCCUCUUCUUGCCAACGUUCAGCCUGGGCCUACUGCUGCUCGUGGACAUGUGCCUGGGACCGCGAAGAGCUAUGUGCCCCGUCCACCUCUUGGGGCCCUUCCUCGCAGCCGCCCACGUGAUAGUUGGUUUCCCUAUCUGAGUCCGGCUGUGACGACGGUUAAUCGUAUAAAACGGAAGGCGUCCAUGAAACUACGUCGGUCUAAAUACGAAGAUCACGUUGUUAUGGGCCCUUUAGAAAGGGAUUGGCAGGGUUACUCGGUUGCAUUUGCUGAGUCGCUUAAAGCUUCCUAUGCAGAUAGGUCUUACUGUGGGGCCCCUGAGUUCCUCUGUCAGUACUGUGGUGCCUCCUUCUGGUUUGCUGAAUGUGUUCAGUCCAAGUCCUCUUGGACGAAACGUAAGAUCAUUUAUAACCUCUAUUGUAAAGGUGCUCAGGUCUAUAUACCUCCCUUCAAGGACCCCCCGGCUUAUCUCCGGGAGCUCCUUCAUUUCAAUGGUACAUCACGUGCGAAGAAAUUCCUCCGAAAUAUCCGUCAGUACAAUUGUAUGUUCGCUUUCACUUCAAUGGGUGCUAAAAUUGAUCACUCACUGGAUAGCACCCGUGGUCCUAAAAUCUUUAAAAUAAGUGGGCAGGUGUCUCACCGUCUUGGUUCAUUGUUUCCCAAAGGUAGUGAUACUCCUAAGUUUGCUGAACUAUAUAUACAUGAUCCGGCUAAUGAGAUUACACAUAGGAUAAAUGCCUUGAAUCCCAACGAUAAACCGGUAGGAGCUGUGGAUGAGAGCAUUGUCGUUGGUCUUAGAGACAUGCUUGAUGAGUUUAACUCGCUGGUACAGACCUUUAGGGAGGCAAGCAAGCUAAUAGAGGAUCGUGGUGACGAACCCAUCGAGGAUAUUUCCAUUCGUAUUAUUGGUCCUUCAGAUGGUGAUAGUCCACAGUUUAGCUUACCUACUGCCACUGGACUUGCUGCUUUGGUUGUUAAUGACUUCACAUUAGAGAUGUCUGCACGGGAUAUUAUUGUUUCUAGCCGGUCAGAGGGUCUACAGCAGAUCUCUUCUUUGAACACGGCAUUUAUGUCUUUGCAGUACCCGUUGCUUUUCCCCUAUGGAGAGAGAGGGUUCCAAAUAGAUGUUCCACACCUGAUUGUUCCUCAGGACGUGGAUGAUGAUAUGCAUGUUGAUCCUGUAGCUGAGGCAUCUCCUUCAGAUGCUUCAAGUAGCCAGUCUCCCGGUGGUAGUAGGAAUAGAAUGACAAUGCAGGAUUAUUACCGCUUUAUGUGUCAUUACAAAGGUGAUCAGCCCAAUCCAUAUUUGUGCUAUGGUCUUCUAUCCUCUCAGUCGGUCGUUGAUGCACGUGCAUGCAUCGACGAGAACAGGUUGUGGUAUAUACUCAGAAAUCAGGAUAUGCUUAGGUCCGAGCACAUGCAAGGUAUUGCUGAUGCUGUCGGUGAUGGGUGUACCGAUGGUGAUGCACUAGGAAAAAGAACCAUUCUGCCUUCCAGUCACACUGGUGGUGAUCGCUACUUCAAGGAGAACUUCCAGGAUGGGCUCGCCGUGUGUCGGGUGCAUGGUCCGCCGGAUAUAUUUACCACCUUCACUUGCAACCCCAAAUGGCCUGAGAUUAUGGACGCAUUAGAGCCAGGCCAAAGGCCUUCUGAUCGGGCGGAUAUUGUUGUUAGGGUCUAUCAUAUGAAGCUUAUUGAAUAUUUAAAUGAGAUCAAGUCUGGAAAAGCUUUUGGCCCAAUUAAGGCUGUGUUAUAUACUGUCGAAUUCCAAAAACGAGGUCUGCCACACGCGCAUAUCCUCAUCUGGCGUAAAGGAGACAAAGAUGGUGAUCACUGCCCUAGCUGCUCUUGUCCCAGGAAACAAGAAGUUGACUAUUCGUGUGUAUGUCUCAAGGCUGUGGCAGCAUCGUGGAACUACUGA